rnacentral:rRNA from 1 species
UGGGGAAUUUUGGACAAUGGGCGAAAGCCUGAUCCAGCAAUGCCGCGUGUGUGAAGAAGGCCUUCGGGUUGUAAAGCACUUUUGUCCGGAAAGAAAUCCUUGGCUCUAAUACAGUCGGGGGAUGACGUACCGGAAGAAUAAGCACCGGCUAACUACGUGCCAGCAGCCGCGGUAAUACGUAGGGUGCAAGCAUUAAUCGGAAUUACUGGGCGUAAAGCGUGCGCAGGCGGUUUGCUAAGACCGAUGUGAAAAUCCCCGGGCUCAAACCUGGGAACUGCAUUGGUGACUGGCAGGCUAGAGUAUGGCAGAGGGGGGUAGAAUUCCACGUNUAGCAGUGAAAUGCGUAGAGAUGUGGAGGAAUACCGAUGGCGAAGGCAGCCCCCUGGGCCAAUACUGACGCUCAUGCACGAAAGCGUGGGGAGCAAAACAGGAUUAGAUACCCUGGUAGU